rnacentral:rRNA from 1 species
UACGGAAGGGGCAAGCGUUGUUCGGAAUCAUUGGGCGUAAAGGGCGCGUAGGUGGUUCUGUAUGUCUACCGUGAAAGCGUACGGCUCAACCGUAUUUUGUCGGUGAGAACUGCAGGACUUGAGGCUGGGAGGGGCUGGUGGAAUUCCCUGUGUAGCGGUGAAAUGCGUAGAGAUGGGGGAGAACACUCGUGGCGAAGGCGGCCAGCUAGACCAGUUCUGACACUGAGGCGCGACAGCGUGGGGAGCAAACAGG